ensembl:lncRNA
UGGAGCUUUCCCCCGCGCGCGCGCUAACACACAUAAUUUUCACGGGCUAUAGCGCCGCUCAGUGGAUUUAUCUUAUUCCUCUAUGUUCAGUUAUAUAGUUUAUUGGGACCUUGGAGAACAAACAGAAACGUCCUGUCCUUUGCCCGGUUCUUUUCUUGGUUGAAUGUCCGCAUUUGUAAUUGUCAUUAUGUCUAGUAACUAUAAUGACCCGCGCAACUGUCAUUACGCGUGAUGUUUACGCCAAACGCGGUCCACGCGGUGUUUACUGACGUGUACUCACCAACACUGCUGGAUGCAAGAAUUAUUGUUGAAAAAUGAGGUACUUGAAAGUGAGUCACUCACAUUAUGAUUGAGGCCCUUGUUACUGAAGCUCCAGCAUUUUGAAUGCAUCGCAACCUUUCAUACCUUUUCAACUGCAGGCGCAACACUUCAGCUAUUGAAGGUAAGUUUCCACACAAAUGGGGUCCUUCAGUUGGCCCUGACUGAACCUGGCAAUGGAGGGGCACCUUUAGAAUCUGCCGGCCCGGGCAUUGAAAGGAGAGAUGCGGUGCUCAAGUCAUGCAUCUUACACAGUAACUACAGUCACAGAGCCUUCAACCCUGCUGCAUUCAGCUAUAAUUGCCCCUGACAGCAGGGCAAAUCAUCAGCACAGGGAUGUGAUAAGCAUUACAGCCAGAUGACAGCUCACAGAAGUGUAUUAGCAACACUGUG